UUUCCAUUCAUCCAUUCCCUGAAUCGCAACCUUUACAAUUCUUCUUUCUACUAGAAUCAUAUUUAUUAUAUGAUUUGUAUAAUACAUGUAAAUGUAUUAAAAGCUUAAGUCUCAAUACUUCAUAUCUUUUCUAUCGAUAAUUCAUUUAUUUUAGAAUCAUAUCUAUACUAAUUUAAGAAUAAACAUUCUUUAUACAUUCCACAUUUCAAACUAUACAUAACUGCCAAUUACAUUUGACAAAACUAUCAAUCAUAGAUUUAUACCAUUCUAAUUCAAGGAAAUGUAUUCAUUUUGCACAUCGUUUAAUCUUCAUCAUCCGUAUAGCAAGUAAUAUUGCUUAACAUCAUUAACCUGCAAAAAGUUUGUAUUUGCAAGAUUGAGCUCGACAGCCCAGCAAAUUUAACAGUCUAUCAUGUUUCACAUAGCACACAAUUUCAUAUGCACUAUAUUUCCUUUACUACGCAUAUCCGCAUGCAACAUAUAUUCUUUACUAUGCAUUUCCUACAUGCAUCAAUAAUUCCUUACAAAGCAUACAUUCAUGCAUUAUACAUUUCUAAUUUAUUGAGCUACAUCAUACAACAUGUGCUAUCACAUAUCACAUAUCACAUAUAAAUUGAGUUCCAUAACCCAAUUAACUUAGUCAUAUUUUGACUUUAACAAUUCAUAAAGCAUGGUAUGUAACUAACCACAUAAUCACAUUUAGUCCACAAACAUAAUAGAACUGAAAAACUUGCCUCGUUCAACGACUAUUGAUACAAACUUUAGUUUAACUUCGCUUCACGAAUCCUACACAGUUAUGUUCACAUGUAUGCAUACAUUAGCCACAUACUCAUGUAUAGAUAUUAAACAUUCAUAUACGUUAUAUUAGUAACUGAUAUUUUCAUUUCCAAGAAACUUCCAUAUUCUUUUUUUCAAAUAUUUUAAGUUUCAGCUUAUUAUAGCUAUACAUUCUCAAAAAGUUCCAACACGACUUUUAAAUAAUUGUCUUCACAUACAAAACAUAUUAGUUAUGUGUCCAUGUCAUAUAACAUGUAUAGUUAUAUAUUACAUAUCCAUAUUGGCCAUAUCCUUAACUUUUAAUUCUCGUUUUUGAAAACUUCUUAUAUUCUUUUCAAAAACGUUUAUUCUUUUACUCACGAUAGUCUUUUAUCGCUUUAACAACCCUUGACAUGAUUUUAGUUCAUGAAUACCUCACACUUUCUUUUUUAUAAUUCUCUUGUAUCCUAUUACAUGGGUAUUCCAUACUUUUUAUACAUACUUUAGGUAUUCAAGGUGAAUUCAAAACUCAUUUUGUGCUUUGAGUGUAAUUAUAACUUCUAUGGACAACGUAUAGCUUUCGUAAUACUUUAUAGUUCCAUUUAGAUCCACUAAUGCUUUAAAUAUUGUUGUUUUUCAUCAUAUUGACAAAACAGCCCCUUCGAGGCAUUAACAGUUUCAAACUUAGCUUAACAGCCCCAAUUUAGAUACCCAAUAUCUCUACUAGACUUUAACUUAUAGAUUACUAACUCAAUGGUAUCAAACUGUAGGUAGGUUGUAGAUUUUAUACACCUGUCCAUUUAGAGAUAACAAACUCAACUUUUUGGGUAAACUAUUGAACUAAAUUAAAGCCAAGAUGGCUCCUCAACGCUGCUGUCUACUGUUGUUCGCUGCUGCCAAAUGGCAGCAACUCUUUCCCUUGCCCCAAACCUCAUGCAAAUUUUAGUUCCUAGUUUAAUAAUACAUUCACAAUUAACUCUUAAUAAAUUAUAGAUGGUACACCCACCUAUUAAAAUAGCUAACAAUUUACAAUACUACAUAAUAUAUAUGAACCCAAUUGCUUUCCAAAUUUGCUCCUUGUUGCUAACUGUUGCUGCCAAUGAGCAACAGUCCCUUCUUCUUUUCUCUUGUUUUGCUAGCUUUUCGCUACUCACGGCUUUGAUCUAUUCAUAUGGAAUUUUGAUAUUAUGUAGGUGAUAUACUCAGCUAUUAUAGUAAAACAUUAGUCGUGCAUCUUAAGCAAUUUAAGCUUGUUGGCUGAGAGCCCAAGGAAAACCCCCAGCCAUUGCCAAACAUCACCAUCACCACUGCUGCUGCCAUGGGCAGCAGCUCUAUUUCCAACGUGCCCAUUUUGCGACCUCAUUACUUCUAGCUUGUAUACUGGAUUACAACGAAUGUUAAAUAUGUUAACAUAUAUAUAAUAUAUGAGACUAUUUUUAAAAAAUACGAGUCACCCAAUUCGAGCUCAUUAGGCAGCCCAAAUAAUGCGUCAAAAGUAGACGUUCAUAACAGUUUCAAUUUCUUCCCAGCUGUACCCUCUCUCCCUAAAACAGUCGUAACUUUUUCGUUUUAAAACAUUUUUAGGCGAUUCUCGAGCCCACGCGAAGCUAACUUCCGGGACUACAACUUUCAUUCUUUGACCAUUUCCAAAUUCAAAACACAGAAUUCCAGAAAAUUCGUGCAAGGUGACUGCCCCGAGUUUAGACAGUUUUGACGCAACUACUUUGAACGGUCAUAACUCUUUGCUCCGAAAUCGGAAUUCAUCCGUUCCGGAGUCUAUGGAAAGCUUAUUCAAUUUACUAUAAUACCCCAAAAGCCCAGAAGUUUCUGGAAAUUCUAGCUAGCCCCAAAUUUGUUCUUAGGGUCAGCAGUUCACAAUUUUUCGGUUCUAACAUGUUUAUUUCGCAUAGUUUAAUUUUUUACAUCUUCGAUUCAUUUGUAUUAAGUUUUGGAUAUAUAUAUAUAUAUAUAUAUAUAUAUAUAUAUAUAUUAAUAUAUAGGUGAUGUACUCACCUAUUUUAGAAACAUACCAGUUCAACAAUUUGAAUCAUUUAAACUCGUUGACUGAGAGCUUAAAGAAGCCCCCAGCCAUCCGCCCUGCAGCGUGCUGCUGCUGCCUACUGCUAUGGGCAGCAGCGUUUUGGACAUCAUGGCCAACUUACAACUUUUUAACUUUUAGCUCAUAUGCCGGAUUAAAACCAAUUUUUAAUAUGUUAUAUAUAGCAUAUGAGACUAUUUUUAGAAACUAUAAGCUCACCAUUUUGGACUCUUUAAGUUGCCCAAAACUGUGCUCAAAAAUGGCUUGACAUACUAACUUUCAACUUUCGUUUUGGCUUAAAUUCGCAUUUCGUUCUAAUUUACUUUGCCCAAACCCCUUAAUCAUCUUCAUAUAGUGUAAAUAUACAUUACCUUAGCCUUGGAUUUGCUUAAUAUUUGGAUUUUAACAAAAACAGUCCAUAUAGGACUUUUAUCAAGCACUUGGUGUGCAUUUUCUUAAAACGCAUAUUUCAUGUUGUUUGGUCUAUGUUCUAGCCCUUUUUUUUUGCCACCUUAUUACUCCGCACAACCAAUCAUAUACUCCUUGGCUCUAACUUCCAUCCACAACAACCAAUACUCAGAAAACCAUACAUGUAUGUAGCUAUUUCAUAAUUUAGUUUACUAACUUUCAAACAUUGACCCAAUUCCAUUCCUUUAGUUUCUAAAACAUGUUUUACAUUAUAAGUUCCAUUUCCAUAGCUUGAUCGUUACAUAAAUGAUCAUUAACCAACUGUUUUCACUGUUAAAUUCAAUCCCAACCAACUAAUUUCACAUUUAAAUUACUAACUCGCUAUGCUAAAUACUCAAAUUCCAUAUUUGCAAACAUAUAUAUAGAAUAAGUUGUAUACCUUGUAUGCUUGAUUCUUGGAUUAUAAUUGCUCGAUUGGGAUUUGAAUGUUGGAAGAAAUAGCGCGGUUGAGACUUAUUUCUGGGACAGGGGAGCCCGGCACAGGAAGAGGAGAAAUAUGGGAGAAUUCGGCUAGUAGAGGAAAAGAAGGCUAUGAUGCUAAAAUUUAUAAUCCCAAUUUUUUUGUCCCCCAAUCUUUCAACAGUGUUUGGCUUGGGUUUCUAUUUUAU
rnacentral:lncRNA from 1 species